UCAUUGGGAAACCAAUUGAAGCUCUUGUAAACGGCGGGAGUAACUAUGACUCUCUUAAGGUAGCCAAAUGCCUCGUCGGGUAAUUUCCGACGCGCACGAAUGGAUUAACGAGAUUCCUACUGUCCCUAUCUACCAUUCAGCGAAAUCACAGCCAAGGGAACGGGCUUGGCAAAAACAGCGGGGAAAGAAGACCCUGUUGAGCUUGACUCUAGCUAGGCAUUGUGAAGUGUCAUAUGAGGUGUAGCAUAGGUGGGAGUUAUUUUAUAACGAUCUUGAAAUACCACUACUUAUAUUGAUAUUUUACUUAGUUGAUUAAAUGGAAAUUUUAUAUAUUAAUUUAUAUAAUAAUUUUUGUAUUAAAUUAAUAUCUUUGAGAUAUUUAAUAAUCCACGUCAAUGACCAUGUCUGGCGGGGAGUUUGACUGGGGCGGUACAUCUAUCAAACUGUAACGUAGGUGUCCUAAGGCAAACUCAAAGAGGACAGAAACCUCUUGUAGAGUAAAAGGGCAAAAGUUUGCUUGAUCAUGAUUUUCAGUACGAAUACAGACCCUGAAAGGGUGGCCUAUCGAUCCU
rnacentral:rRNA from 1 species